rnacentral:tRNA from 1 species
GGGGAUAUGGCGGAAUGGUAGACGCAGCGGACUCAAAAUCCGUUGGUUUCACAUGACCGUGAGGGUUCGACUCCCUCUAUCCCCA